rnacentral:rRNA from 1 species
GAGUUUUGAUUCUUUGGCUUCAGGACGAAACGCUGGCGGCGUGCCUAAUAACAUGCAAGUCGAGCGGACAGAUGGGAGCUUGCUCCCUGAUGUUAGCGGCGGACGGGUGAGUAACACGUGGGUAACCUGCCUGUAAGACUGGGAUAACUCCGGGAAACCGGGGCUAAUACCGGAUGGUUGUUUGAACCGCAUGGUUCAAACAUAAAAGGUGGCUUCGGCUACCACUUACAGAUGGACCCGCGGCGCAUUAGCUAGUUGGUGAGGUAAUGGCUCACCAAGGCAACGAUGCGUAGCCGACCUGAGAGGGUGAUCGGCCACACUGGGACUGAGACACGGCCCAGACUCCUACGGGAGGCAGCAGUAGGGAAUCUUCCGCAAUGGACGAAAGUCUGACGGAGCAACGCCGCGUGAGUGAUGAAGGUUUUCGGAUCGUAAAGCUCUGUUGUUAGGGAAGAACAAGUACCGUUCGAAUAGGGCGGUACCUUGACGGUACCUAACCAGAAAGCCACGGCUAACUACGUGCCAGCAGCCGCGGUAAUACGUAGGUGGCAAGCGUUGUCCGGAAUUAUUGGGCGUAAAGGGCUCGCAGGCGGUUUCUUAAGUCUGAUGUGAAAGCCCCCGGCUCAACCGGGGAGGGUCAUUGGAAACUGGGGAACUUGAGUGCAGAAGAGGAGAGUGGAAUUCCACGUGUAGCGGUGAAAUGCGUAGAGAUGUGGAAAAACACCAGUGGCGAAGGCGACUCUCUGGUCUGUAACUGACGCUGAGGAGCGAAAGCGUGGGGAGCGAACAGGAUUAGAUACCCUGGUAGUCCACGCCGUAAACGAUGA